rnacentral:rRNA from 1 species
GGAAUACGUUAACGGGCGUGCCUAAUACUUGCAAGUCGAGCGAACAGAUUAGGAGCUUGCUCCUUUGACGUUAGCGGCGGACGGGUGAGUAACACGUGGGUAACCUACCUAUAAGACUGGAAUAACUCCGGGAAACCGGGGCUAAUGCCGGAUAACAUUUAGAACCGCAUGGUUCUAAAGUGAAAGAUGGUUUUGCUAUCACUUAUAGAUGGACCCGCGCCGUAUUAGCUAGUUGGUAAGGUAACGGCUUACCAAGGCAACGAUACGUAGCCGACCUGAGAGGGUGAUCGGCCACACUGGAACUGAGACACGGUCCAGACUCCUACGGGAGGCAGCAGUAGGGAAUCUUCCGCAAUGGGCGAAAGCCUGACGGAGCAACGCCGCGUGAGUGAUGAAGGUCUUCGGAUCGUAAAACUCUGUUAUUAGGGAAGAACAAAUGUGUAAGUAACUAUGCACGUCUUGACGGUACCUAAUCAGAAAGCCACGGCUAACUACGUGCCAGCAGCCGCGGUAAUACGUAGGUGGCAAGCGUUAUCCGGAAUUAUUGGGCGUAAAGCGCGCGUAGGCGGUUUCUUAAGUCUGAUGUGAAAGCCCACGGCUCAACCGUGGAGGGUCAUUGGAAACUGGGAAACUUGAGUGCAGAAGAGGAAA